rnacentral:rRNA from 1 species
UGAGGAAUAUUGGGCAAUGCCCGCAAGGGUGACCCAGCAACGCCGCGUGGAGGAUGAAUGUCGUAAGAUUGUAAACUCCUGUUAGAGGGGAAGAAUAGUACCGGUUGGACCGGUAUAUGACUGUACCCUCAGAGAAAGCCCCGGCUAACUACGUGCCAGCAGCCGCGGUAAUACGGAGGGUGCAAGCGUUAUCCGGAUUCACUGGGUUUAAAGGGUGCGUAGGCGGGCAGGUAAGUCAGUGGUGAAAUCUUCCGGCUUAACCGGAAAACUGCCGUUGAUACUAUUUGUCUUGAAUAUUGCGGAGGUAAGCGGAAUAUGUCAUGUAGCGGUGAAAUGCAUAGAUAUGACAUGGAACACCAAUUGCGAAGGCAGCUUACUACACAAUGAUUGACGCUGAUGCACGAAAGCGUGGGGAGCGAACA